rnacentral:tRNA from 1 species
GUCAGGAUGGCCGAGUUGUCUAAGGCGCCAGACUCAAGUUCUGGUCUUCGAGAGAGGGCGUGGUUUUCAAAUCCCACUUCUGACA